AGUUCACAAAAAUUUCGAGGAAUCGCUUUCAUUAUUGUAAUUUUUUGUAAAUUUUAGAACAUUCGCUUCUCAUGUUGUGUAAAGGAUCUUUACCCCGGAACACCCGAUUUUUUCUUUAGUAGCGCAAAUGCGCAUGCGCUAUGAAGCCGUAGAUCACGAUGGCGUGACGAUAUGCUAGGAAGGGGUGACAGUGUUGUUUUCAAAUGUAUAAAGAUUUCAGACGUGAAUAUUGAGUAAAUCUUUGAAAAUCUACGCAAUAUAUAAAUCGAUCUUAUGCAUUACGGGCGUUCAAUUAAGUGCCGAUAAUAUUUAGA